rnacentral:piRNA from 1 species
UAGAGUAUGGCACUAAGAUCUUGAACUACUC